rnacentral:rRNA from 1 species
GAGGAAUAUUGGUCAAUGGACGUAAGUCUGAACCAGCCAAGUAGCGUGCAGGAUGACGGCCCUAUGGGUUGUAAACUGCUUUUGUAUGGGGAUAAAGUCAAUCACGUGUGAUUGUUUGCAGGUACCAUACGAAUAAGGACCGGCUAAUUCCGUGCCAGCAGCCGCGGUAAUACGGAAGGUUCGGGCGUUAUCCGGAUUUAUUGGGUUUAAAGGGAGCGUAGGCCGGAGAUUAAGUGUGUUGUGAAAUGUAGACGCUCAACGUCUGACUUGCAGCGCAUACUGGUUUCCUUGAGUACGCACAACGUUGGCGGAAUUCGUCGUGUAGCGGUGAAAUGCUUAGAUAUCACGAAGAACUCCGAUCGCGAAGGCAGGUGUCCGGGCUGCAACUGACGCUGAGGCUCGAAAGUGUGGGUAUCAAACAGGAUUAGAUACCCUGGUAGUCCACACAGUAAACGAUGUAUACUCGCGGUUUGCGAUAGACAGUAAGCCGCCAAGCGAAAGCAUUAAGUAUACCACCUGGGGAGUACGCCGGCAACGGUG